rnacentral:rRNA from 1 species
UCAUAUGCUUGUCUCAAAGAUUAAGCCAUGCAUGUCUUAGUACAAACUUAAACAAGUGAAACCGCGAAAGGCUCAUUAAAUCAGUUAUGGUUCCUUAGAUUGUACCAUUUUUACUUGGAUAACUGUGGUAAUUCUAGAGCUAAUACAUGCAAAUAGAGUUUCAACCGGAAACGGAAGAAAUGCUUUUAUUAGAUCAAAACCAAUUGGUGUUGACUUUUAGUCUUCAUCGUUAUAUUUGGUGAAUCUGAAUAACUUUUAGCUGAUCGCAUGGUCUAGCACCGGCGACGUAUCUUUCAAAUGUCUGCCUUAUCAACUGUCGAUGGUAGGUUCUGCGCCUACCAUGGUUGUAACGGGUAACGGGGAAUCAGGGUUCGAUUCCGGAGAGGGAGCCUGAGAAACGGCUACCACAUCCAAGGAAGGCAGCAGGCGCGCAAAUUACCCACUCCCGGCACGGGGAGGUAGUGACGAAAAAUAACGAUACGGGACUCAUCCGAGGCCCCGUAAUCGGAAUGAGUACACUUUAAAUCCUUUAACGAGGAUCAAUUGGAGGGCAAGUCUGGUGCCAGCAGCCGCGGUAAUUCCAGCUCCAAUAGCGUAUAUUAAAGUUGUUGCGGUUAAAAAGCUCGUAGUCGUAUUUGUGUUUUGCACCGUUGGUUCAUCGUUCGCGGUGUUAACUGACGUGUUGCAAAACGUCCUGCCGGUGGAUUAAGUUUAUUUUUAUAAUAAGCAAUCCAAUUAAAUCCUAUUGCGGUGCUCUUAAUUGAGUGCUGAGAUAGGCCGGCACGUUUACUUUGAACAAAUUAGAGUGCUUAAAGCAGGCUAAAAUAUUGCCUGAAUAUUGUGUGCAUGGAAUAAUAAAAUAGGACCUCGGUUCUAUUUUGUUGGUUUUCGGAACUCCGAGGUAAUGAUUAAUAGAAACGGAUGGGGGCAUUCGUAUUGCGACGUUAGAGGUGAAAUUCUUGGAUCGUCGCAAGACGAACAGAAGCGAAAGCAUUUGCCAAAAACGCUUUCAUUGAUCAAGAACGAAAGUUAGAGGUUCGAAGGCGAUCAGAUACCGCCCUAGUUCUAACCAUAAACGAUGCCAGCUAGCGAUCCGCCGACGUUCUUUUGAUGACUCGGCGGGCAGCUUUCGGGAAACCAAAGCUUUUGGGUUCCGGGGGAAGUAUGGUUGCAAAGCUGAAACUUAAAGGAAUUGACGGAAGGGCACCACCAGGAGUGGAGCCUGCGGCUUAAUUUGACUCAACACGGGAAACCUCACCAGGCCCAGACACCGGAAGGAUUGACAGAUUGAGAGCUCUUUCUUGAUUCGGUGGGUGGUGGUGCAUGGCCGUUCUUAGUUGGUGGAGCGAUUUGUCUGGUUAAUUCCGAUAACGAACGAGACUCUGGCCUGCUAAAUAGGCGCAAUAGACAUCUUAAAGGCCCAUUUAUAUAAAGUUUACUUUGUAUUUAAUGCGGUUUUUACUGUCUGCGUUUAAUAAAUUCUUCUUAGAGGGACAAGUGGCUUCUAGCCGCACGAGAAUGAGCAAUAACAGGUCUGUGAUGCCCUUAGAUGUUCUGGGCCGCACGCGCGCUACACUGAAAGAAUCAGCGUGUUUUCCCUGACCGAAUGGUCCGGGUAACCCGUUGAACCUCUUUCGUGCUAGGGAUUGGGGCUUGCAAUUGUUCCCCAUAAACGAGGAAUUCCCAGUAAGCGCGAGUCAUAAGCUCGCGUUGAUUACGUCCCUGCCCUUUGUACACACCGCCCGUCGCUACUACCGAUUGAAUAAUUUAGUGAGGUCUUCGGACUAAUGCUUAAAGGCGUUUUUUCGUUUUUGAUGUUUUUGGAAAGAUGACCAAACUUGAUUAUUUAGAGGAAGUAAAAGUCGUAACAAGGUUUCC